rnacentral:rRNA from 1 species
GCUUGUCUCAAAGAUUAAGCCAUGCAUGUCUAAGUGUAAAUAAGUCUAUACUGUGAAACUGCGAAUGGCUCAUUAAAUCAGUUAUCGUUUAUUUGAUGAUCUCUUACUACUUGGAUAACCGUAGUAAUUCUAGAGCUAAUACAUGCGUAAAGGGGGCUGCAAAGCUUCUGUGUUUAUUAGAUACAACCGCCCGGGCAACCGGUUUUGGUGAGUCACAAUAACCGAACGAACCGCUUUAUGCGGUGGUUCAUUCAAGUUUCUGCCCUAUCAGCUUUCGAUGGUAGUGUAUUGGACUACCAUGGCGUUAACGGGUAACGGAGAAUUAGGGUUCGAUUCCGGAGAGGGAGCCUGAGAAAUGGCUACCACAUCCAAGGAAGGCAGCAGG